UCCUACGGGAGGCAGCAGUGGGGAAUAUUGCACAAUGGGCGCAAGCCUGAUGCAGCAACGCCGCGUGAGGGACGAAGGCCUUCGGGUUGUAAACCUCUUUUAGUAGGGAAGAAGCGACUGGGUUUUCCUGAGAGUGACGGUACCUGCAGAAAAAGCGCCGGCUAACUACGUGCCAGCAGCCGCGGUAAUACGUAGGGUGCAAGCGUUGUCCGGAAUUAUUGGGCGUAAAGAGCUCGUAGGCGGUUUGUCGCGUCUGCUGUGGAAACCCGAGGCUCAACCUCGGGCCUGCAGUGGGUACGGGCAGACUAGAGUGCGGUAGGGGAGAUUGGAAUUCCUGGUGUAGCGGUGGAAUGCGCAGAUAUCAGGAGGAACACCAAUGGCGAAGGCAGAUCUCUGGGCCGUAACUGACGCUGAGGAGCGAAAGCAUGGGGAGCGAACAGGAUUAGAUACCCUGGUAGUCCAUGCCGUAAACGUUGGGAACUAGAUGUGGGGACCAUUCCACGGUCUCCGUGUCGCAGCUAACGCAUUAAGUUCCGCCGCCUGGGGAGUACGGCCGCAAGGCUAAAACUCAAAGGAAUUGACGGGGGCCCGCACAAGCGGCGGAGCAUGCGGAUUAAUUCGAUGCAACGCGAAGAACCUUACCAAGGCUUGACAUAUACCGGAAACGGCUGGAAACAGUCGCCCCGCAAGGUCGGUAUACAGGUGGUGCAUGGUUGUUGUCAGCUCGUGUCGUGAGAUGUUGGGUUAAGUCCCGCAACGAGCGCAACCCUCGUCCUAUGUUGCCAGCACGUAAUGGUGGGAACUCAUGGGAUACUGCCGGGGUCAACUCGGAGGAAGGUGGGGAUGACGUCAAAUCAUCAUGCCCCUUAUGUCUUGGGCUUCACGCAUGCUACAAUGGCCGGUACAAAGGGGUGCGAUACCGCAAGGUGGAGCGAAUCCCAAAAAGCCGGUCUCAGUUCGGAUUGAGGUCUGCAACUCGACCUCAUGAAGUGGGAGUCGCUAGUAAUCGCAGAUCAGCAACGCUGCGGUGAAUACGUUCCCGGGCCUUGUACACACCGCC
rnacentral:rRNA from 1 species